GAUGAAGAACGUAGCGAAAUGCGAUAAGUAAUGUGAAUUGCAGAAUUCAGUGAAUCAUCGAAUCUUUGAACGCACAUUGCGCCCCCUGGUAUUCCGGGGGGCAUGCCUGUUCGAGCGUCAUUUCACCACUCAAGCCUCGCUUGGUAUUGGGCAACGCGGUCCGCCGCGUGCCUCAAAUCGACCGGCUGGGUCUUCUGUCCCCUAAGCGUUGUGGAAACUAUUCGCUAAAGGGUGUUCGGGAGGCUACGCCGUAAAACAACCCCAUUUCUAAGGUUGACCUCGGAUCAGGUAGGGAUAUCCGCUGAACUUAAGCAUAUCAAUAAGCGGAGGA
rnacentral:misc_RNA from 1 species